GACAGGGGGUGCAAACGUUGUUCGGAAUUACUGGGCGUAAAGCGCGUGUAGGCGGCCCUGCAAGUCGGAUGUGAAAUCCCACGGCUCAACCGUGGAAGUGCAUUCGAAACUGCAGGGCUAGAGUCCUGGAGAGGAAGGUGGAAUGCUUGGUGUAGAGGUGAAAUUCGUAGAUAUCAAGCGGAACACCGGUGGCGAAGGCGGCCUUCUGGACAGUGACUGACGCUGAGACGCGAAAGCGUGGGGAGCAAACAGG
rnacentral:rRNA from 1 species